CCUACGGGAGGCAGCAGUCGAGAAUCAUUCACAAUGGGGGAAACCCUGAUGGUGCGACGCCGCGUGGGGGAAUGAAGGUCUUCGGAUUGUCAACUCCUGUAAUGUGGGAGCAAAUUAAAAAGAUAGUACCACAAGAGGAAGAGACGGCUAACUCUGUCACAGCAGCAGCGGUAAUACAGAGGUCUCAAGCGUUGUGGGGAAUCACGGGGCGUAAAGCGGGUGUAUGCUGUUUCGUAAGUCGGGUGUGAAAGGCGCGGGCUCAACCCGCGGACGGCACAUGAAACGGCGAGACUAGAGUACAGGAGGGGGAACCGGAAGUCCCGGUGUAGCAGUGAAAUGCGUAGAUAUCGAGAGGAACACUCGUGGCGAAGGCGGGUUCCUGGACAUUAACUGACGCUGAGGCACGAAGGCCAGGGGAGCGAAAGGGAUUAGAUACCCCUGUAGUC
rnacentral:rRNA from 1 species